AAGAUUUGUUUGUUUGCUGUUGUUUUUGAAUAAGCGCAUCGCUACGUUGAUUUCACGUGAUAAAUUCACUUCUUAUAAUGUAGUUGUAAAUUAUCCAAAACUUAAACAGACGCCGGCCAUGGAGAAAGGAGCUGCUUUUCAAGGAAUACUCUUGAUAGUUUCAGUAUUUAUACAACCAACCAAUGGGGUGUGUAAUGCAACAUCUGGACCAUCCGGGAAUGAUGACUGUUUUUCGUCCACCCAUUAUGGAGGAUUAUACCAAUGGGGAACUUGUCUAGCAAAGGCGCAAAUAGAAAAACUAUCCAAUAGCAGCGUUACUUGUCGUGAUGAAACAGCAACAUACUGCUACUACCCAUGUAUGAUUGGACUAUUCGAAUUGGAUCAAGGCCCAGUACAUGCUGACUGUUCAUGCCAACCGGGUGACACACCAUUGACAGGGGGAACGGCCAGAUUCAACUAACAAACAGAAACAAACUACUCCAUUCUAACAACAAGCACGUUUAUUUACUAAGAGUUUUAUAAAAGUUAUUUCAAAUAAGUAACAACAUGGACAUGUAUAUACCAAGAAUAAAGAAUAUUCAUUAUU